AUUGAACGCUGGCGGCAGGCCUAACACAUGCAAGUCGAGCGAGCGGCGGACGGGUGAGUAAUGUAUGGGGACUGCCCGAUAGAGGGGGAUAACUACUGGAAACGGUGGCUAAUACCGCAUACUAUCGGAUAACCCAUAUGGGAUUAGCUAGUAGGUGGGGUAAAGGCUUACCUAGGCGACGAUCUCUAGCUGGUCUGAGAGGAUGAUCAGCAACAAUGGGACGGAGAGACGGCACAGACUCCUAGGGAGGCAGCAGGAGGGAAUAUUGCACAAGGGGCGCAAGCCUGAUGCAGCCAUGCUGCGUGUAUGAAGAAGGCCUUAGGGUUGUAAAGUACUUUCAGCGGGGAGGCGUUACCCUCAGAAGAAGCACCGGCAAACUCCGUGCCAGCAGACGCGGUAAUAG
rnacentral:rRNA from 1 species